UAGCGGAGGAAAAGAAACUAACAAGGAUUCCCCUAGUAACGGCGAGUGAAGAGGGAAGAGCCCAAGAUUGAAAGCUGGCGUCUUCGGCGUCCGCAUUGUAAUCUCAAGAAGUGUUUUCCGCUUCGGACCAUGCCUAAGUCCCUUGGAAAAGGGCAUCAUAGAGGGUGAUAAUCCCGUACAUGGCAUGGAGCGCCCGAAGCUUUGUGAUACGCUUUCUAAGAGUCGAGUUGUUUGGGAAUGCAGCUCAAAAUGGGUGGUAAAUGCCAUCUAAGGCUAAAUAUUGGGGAGAGACCGAUAGCGAACAAGUACAGUGAUGGAAAGAUGAAAAGAACUUUGAAAAGAGAGUUAAACAGUACGUGAAAUUGCCAAAAGGGAAGGGUAGGAGGUCAGAGAUGCGUUCUGGGAUUCAGCCUUGCUUUUGCUUGGUGUUUUUCCCAAAUUGCAGGCCAACGUCGGUUUUGGGCGCUGGAGAAGGGUGGAAGGAACGUGGCACCCCUCGGGGUGUGUUAUAGCCUUCUACUGGAUACAGUGACCGAGACCGAGGACAGCAGCGUACUCGCAAGAGCGGGCCUUCGGGCACCUUUACGCUUAGGGCGUUGGCAUAAUGGCCCUCUACCACCCGUCU
rnacentral:rRNA from 1 species